rnacentral:rRNA from 1 species
AACAAACGCUGGCGGCGUGCCUAAUACAUGCAAGUCGAACGGGGAAAGCUUUCGGGUGAGUACUAGUGGCGCACGGGUGAGUAACGCGUGGAUAAUCUGCCUUAGAGUGGGGGAUAACUAGUCGAAAGAUUAGCUAAUACCGCAUAAGACCACAAGAACUGCGGUUCAAGAGGUCAAAGGUUUUUCGCUCUAAGAUGAGUCCGCGUAAGAUUAGCUAGUUGGUGAGGUAACGGCACACCAAGGCAACGAUCUUUAACUGGUCUGAGAGGAUGAUCAGUCACACUGGAACUGAGACACGGUCCAGACUCCUACGGGAGGCAGCAGUAGGGAAUAUUGCACAAUGGAUGAAACUCUGAUGCAGCGACGCCGCGUGAGUGAUGAAGGCCUUCGGGUCGUAAAGCUCUGUCGCAGGGGAAUAACACAAUGAAUGUACCCUGUAAGAAAGGAUCGGCUAACUACGUGCCAGCAGCCGCCGGUAAGAC